GGGGGGGGGGGGGGGGGGGGGUGGGGGGGGCGGGGCGGGCGGGGGGGGGGGGCGUGCUCCGGGAGUCAGCGGCGGACGGGUGAGUGAGGCCUAGGAAUCUGCCUGUGCGUGGGGGAUCGCGGCCGGAACCGGGCACUAAUACCGCAUACGGCCUGCUGGAGCACGUGGGUGAUCUUCGGACCUCACGCUAUCAGAUGAUCCUAAGUCGGAUGAGCUAGUUGGGGGGGUACAGGCCUACCAAGGCGACGAUCCGUAACUGGUCUGAGAGGAGGAUCAGGCACACUGGAACUGAGACACGGUCCAGAAUCCUACGGGAGGCAGCAGUGGGGAAUAUUGGACAAUGGGCGAAAGCCUGAUCGAGCCAUGCCGCGUGUGUGAAGAAGGUCUUCGGAUUGUAAAGCACUUUAAGUUGGGAGGAAGGGAAGUAAGUUAAUACCUUGCUGUUUUGACGUUACCAACAGAAUAAGCACCGGCUAACUUCGUG
rnacentral:rRNA from 1 species